rnacentral:lncRNA from 1 species
ACAAACUGAUCAUAAACAGCAGAUAAUUGAGCUGCGGAUCAAGCUUAGUAUCCAAUGAUCCUGAGUGUAACCUGUCAACGCUCGUUUAGCUAGCAUAUCUACCACUUUAUUACACUAGGAUACAUGCUGAAAAGUAACUAGCACAUUUUCACACAAGUUUUUACAAUCUUCCACUACCAAGCAGACUUCCAGCGUUUUGUUAAUACUUUUAUUGCAAACUUUGAGUCAGAUUCGCAUUUGCAGUCUUGAUAUGUUCAGUUGAGUAGCUAAGAGCAAUCCAUCUCUGAUUCCUCGUAGUUCAGCCAUGUAGCUACUACAUCUUUCGAGUUUUAAACCAUGCAGCAUCCAUAGGAUGUAAAUGCUUUCUAUGUGAUAAAAAUGCCUCGGUCUUAAAUACAAUCCAUCUGAAGAUAUAAUAGGGGUUAAAAGGAGUAGAGUGACAAACCAUGAGAUUCCUUACUUUCCAAAUUGACCAAAUCAUAAUAAAAAUCAGUGCAGA